rnacentral:lncRNA from 1 species
CUACUAUCCCAAGAUAACACUAACAAAGUUGACCUUAGAAUUGGAGUGCCUGGGUUAGAACCCUGCUGGUACCACCUGCUUACUGCAUGCUUCUGAUGUGAGUUCAGGAGAAGACACUGGCAAGGACAGCAAAGAACAGGAGAACACUCUAGCUUCCCUGAUAGCAUUCAAGGUGCUGUCCAAAGCUCUUGAGUUUCUGCUUUCAAGUGACCCUCAGAAAUUCCCCCAUUCACUGCAGAGGUUCUGUUUCUCCUUGCUUUGUUCUGACUUUACGGCAGAACUAAGCUGAUGAGUUAGUUACUAUGGGUUAUCACUUGGAUUUGAAGAACCAUCAUUUCUAGGCAUUGCUGCUCAGAGUGGGUCUGCCCUCAGGGGAAGCUGUCUAACCAGAGCCUAACCCACUAGGGUUUUAUCAGAACCUAACUGACCUGAGGAAAAGAAAUAUUCAACUCCAGCAAGCUCCAGCCUUCCAAAUGGAGGAGAAGAAAACCCAACUCCAGCCCACUUCAGCUAUCUUGUCCCACAUAAAGGGGAAGUGGAAGAAACCUGAGAAGCAGGCAUGAAGUUCACAGUCCAGAGAUGACAUGAUUUUCUAUGCAAAAAAUUCAAAAUAAUCAGCAACAAAAAAAAUCCUGAAACUAGUAAAUGAUUAUAGCAAGAUUUCAGGAUAUGAGAUUUAUAUACAAAGGUCAAUUACUUUCAUAUAUACAAGCAAUGAACAAGAGGGAUUUGAAAUUAAAAACGAAACUAUUUACAUUAGUACCCCCAAAA